rnacentral:rRNA from 1 species
CACGAGAAACCUUGACUGAAGAUAGGGGGACCAUCCUCUAAGGCUAAAUACUCCUUACCGACCGAUAGUGAACCAGUACUGUGAAGGAAAGGCGAAAAGAACCCCGGAGAGGGGAGUGAAAUAGAACCUGAAACCGCAUACGUACAAGCAGUAGGAGCCUCCUUUGAGGGGUGACUGCGUACCUUUUGUAUAAUGGGUCAGCGACUUAAUUUUAGUAGCAAGGUUAACCGACUAGGGGAGCCGUAGCGAAAGCGAGUCUUAAUAGGGCGUCAAGUUGCUAGGAUUAGACCCGAAACCGAGCGAUCUAUCCAUGGCCAGGUUGAAGGUUGAGUAACAUCAACUGGAGGACCGAACCCACUUAUGUUGAAAAAUGAGGGGAUGAGCUGUGGAUCGGAGUGAAAGGCUAAUCAAGCUCGGAGAUAGCUGGUUCUCCUCGAAAUCUAUUUAGGUAGAGCCUCGCAUAUAACUGUUGGGGGUAGAGCACUGUUAUGGCUAGAGGGCCUUGAUCGGCUUAUCAACCCAUUGCAAACUCCGAAUACCAACAAGUUCAGUGCGGGAGACACACAGUGGGUGCUAACGUCCAUUGUGGAAAGGGAAACAACCCAGACCAUCAGCUAAGGUCCCAAAAUCAUAUCUCAGUGGGAAACGAUGUGGGAAGGCAUAGACAGCUAGGAGGUUGGCUUAGAAGCAGCCAUCCUUUAAAGAAAGCGUAAUAGCUCACUAGUCGAGUCGGCCUGCGCGGAAGAUUUAACGGGGCUAAAGAUAUGUACCGAAGCUAUGGGAUUACACUAUGUGUAAUCGGUAGAGGAGCGUUCUGUAAGCGGUUGAAGGUGUGUUGUAAAGCAUGCUGGACGUAUCAGAAGUGCGAAUGCUGACAUGAGUAACGAUAAGACGGGUGAAAAACCCGUCCGCCGAAAACCCAAGGUUUCCUGCGCAACGCUAAUCGGCGCAGGGUUAGUCGGAUCCUAAGGCGAGGCCGAGAGGCGUAGUCGAUGGAAAACAGGUUAAUAUUCCUGUACCGCUUAUUACUGCGAUGGGGUGACGGAGAAGGUUAAGCCAGAACACAGUUGGUUUUGUGUAUCUAAGCGCAAAGAUGUGAGACUUAGGAAAAUCCGGGUCUCUUUAACAUUGAAACGUGAAUGCGACGGUCUUACGAGACUGGAGUGGCUGACACCCUGCUUCCAAGAAAACCCUCUAAGCUAUAGGUAGUAAGUGACCGUACCCCAAACCAACACAGGUGGGUGGGAUGAGAAUUCUAAGGCGCUUGAGAGAACUCUGGUGAAGGAACUAGGCAAAAUGGUACCGUAACUUCGGGAGAAGGUACGCCCUCGACGGUUCACGCUGUUGAGGGCCACAGAAACUAGGUGGCUGCGACUGUUUAACAAAAACACAGCACUCUGCAAACUCGAAAGAGGACGUAUAGGGUGUGACGCCUGCCCGGUGCCGGAAGGUUAAUUGAUGGGGUUAUCUUCGGAGAAGCUCUUGAUCGAAGCCCCGGUAAACGGCGGCCGUAACUAUAACGGUCCUAAGGUAGCGAAAUUCCUUGUCGGGUAAGUUCCGACCUGCACGAAUGGCGUAACGAUGGCCACACUGUCUCCACCCGAGACUCAGUGAAAUUGAAAUUGCGGUGAAGAUGCCGUAUACCCGCGGCUAGACGGAAAGACCCCGUG